rnacentral:SRP_RNA from 1 species
GUAUCGGUUCCCCGCGACGAUAGACUGUGAACUCCGCCAGGCCCGGAAGGGAGCAACGGCAGCAGUGGACUCGUGCGCCGGGGCGUGCUGGUACGGG